rfam:Spirochaeta coccoides DSM 17374, complete genome.
GUGGAAGUAGUUCAAAGGUAGAGCCCCAGAUUGUGGAUCUGGUUGUUGCGGGUUCGAGCCCCGUCUUCCACC